AUACGGAGGGUGCAAGCGUUAAUCGGAAUUACUGGGCGUAAAGCGUACGUAGGCGGUCCGUUAAGUUAGAUGUGAAAGCCCCGGGCUUAACCUGGGAACUGCAUUUAAAACUGGCGGACUAGAGUUGAGUAGAGGGGAGUGGAGUUUCAGGUGUAGCGGUGAAAUGCGUAGAGAUCUGAAGGAACACCAGUGGCGAAGGCGACUCCCUGGACUAAAACUGACGCUGAGGUACGAAAGCGUGGGUAGCAAACAGGAUUAGAAACCCUAGUAGUCC
rnacentral:rRNA from 1 species